rnacentral:rRNA from 1 species
ACGAACGCUGGCGGCGUGCUUAACGCAUGCAAGUCGAGCGGAAAGGCCCUGCUUUUGUGGGGUGCUCGAGUGGCGAACGGGUGAGUAACACGUGAGUAACCUGCCCUUGACUUUGGGAUAACUUCAGGAAACUGGGGCUAAUACCGGAUAGGAGCUCCUGCUGCAUGGUGGGGGUUGGAAAGUUUCGGCGGUUGGGGAUGGACUCGCGGCUUAUCAGCUUGUUGGUGGGGUAGUGGCUUACCAAGGCUUUGACGGGUAGCCGGCCUGAGAGGGUGACCGGCCACAUUGGGACUGAGAUACGGCCCAGACUCCUACGGGAGGCAGCAGUGGGGAAUAUUGCACAAUGGGCGGAAGCCUGAUGCAGCAACGCCGCGUGCGGGAUGACGGCCUUCGGGUUGUAAACCGCUUUCGCCUGUGACGAAGCGUGAGUGACGGUAAUGGGUAAAGAAGCACCGGCUAACUACGUG